UACGGAGGGUGCGAGCGUUGUCCGGAAUCAUUGGGCGUAAAGGGCGCGUAGGUGGCCUGCUAAGCGUGCGGUGAAAGCUCGGGGCUCAACCCCGAGUCGGCCGUGCGAACUGGUGGGCUUGAGCACUGUAGAGGCAGGCGGAAUUCCGGGUGUAGCGGUGGAAUGCGUAGAGAUCCGGAAGAACACCGGUGGCGAAGGCGGCCUGCUGGGCAGUGGCUGACGCUGAGGCGCGACA
rnacentral:rRNA from 1 species